UACAGAGGUCUCAAGCGUUGUUCGGAAUCACUGGGCGUAAAGGGCGCGUAGGCGGAUUGUUAAGUCAGGGGUGAAAUCCUGGAGCUCAACUCCAGAACUGCCUUUGAUACUGGCGAUCUCGAGUCCGGGAGAGGUGAGUGGAACUGCGAGUGUAGAGGUGAAAUUCGUAGAUAUUCGCAAGAACACCAGUGGCGAAGGCGGCUCACUGGCCCGGUACUGACGCUGAGGUGCGGAAAGCGUGGGGAGCAAACAGG
rnacentral:rRNA from 1 species